GAUGAACGCUGGCGGCGUGCCUAAUACAUGCAAGUCGAGCGAACAGACGAGGAGCUUGCUCCUCUGACGUUAGCGGCGGACGGGUGAGUAACACGUGGAUAACCUACCUAUAAGACUGGGAUAACUUCGGGAAACCGGAGCUAAUACCGGAUAAUAUAUUGAACCGCAUGGUUCAAUAGUGAAAGACGGUUUUGCUGUCACUUAUAGAUGGAUCCGCGCCGCAUUAGCUAGUUGGUAAGGUAACGGCUUACCAAGGCAACGAUGCGUAGCCGACCUGAGAGGGUGAUCGGCCACACUGGAACUGAGACACGGUCCAGACUCCUAAGGGAGGCAGCAGUAGGGAAUCUUCCGAAAUGGGCGAAAGCCUGACGGAGCAACGCCGCGUGAGUGAUGAAGGUAUUCGGAUCGUAAAACUCUGUUAUUAGGGAAGAACAAAUGUGUAAGUAACUAUGCACGUCUUGACGGUACCUAAGCAGAAAGCCACGGCUAACUACGUG
rnacentral:rRNA from 1 species